AUACGGAGGGUGCGAGCGUUAAUCGGAAUUACUGGGCGUAAAGCGCGCGUAGGCGGAUAUUUAAGUCUCAUGUGAAAGCCCUGGGCUCAACCUGGGAACUGCAUGGGAUACUGGGUAUCUAGAAUACAGUAGAGGGUAGUGGAAUUUCAGGUGUAGCGGUGAAAUGCGUAGAGAUCUGAAGGAACAUCAGUGGCGAAGGCGACUACCUGGACUGAUAUUGACGCUGAGGUGCGAAAGCGUGGGGAGCAAACGGGAUUAGAAACCCUAGUAGUCC
rnacentral:rRNA from 1 species